AACGAACGCUGGCGGCAUGCCUAACACAUGCCAGUCGAACGAGACCUUCGGGUCUAGUGGCGCACGGGUGCGUAACGCGUGGGAACCUGCCCUUAGGUUCGGAAUAACUCCCCGAAAGGGGUGCUAAUACCGGAUAAUGUCUUCGGACCAAAGAUUUAUCGCCUUUGGAUGGGCCCGCGUUGGAUUAGCUAGUUGGUAGGGUAAAAGCCUACCAAGGCGACGAUCCAUAGCUGGUCUGAGAGGAUAAUCAGCCACACUGGGACUGAGACACGGCCCAGACUCCUACGGGAGGCAGCAGUGGGGAAUAUUGGACAAUGGGCGAAAGCCUGAUCCAGCAAUGCCGCGUGAGUGAUGAAGGCCUUAGGGUUGUAAAGCUCUUUUACCCGGGAUGAUAAUGACAGUACCGGGAGAAUAAGCUCCGGCUAACUCCGUG
rnacentral:rRNA from 1 species